rnacentral:rRNA from 1 species
UGCGUAGGGAGCAAGCGUUAUCCGGAUUUACUGGGUGUAAAGGGCGUGUAGGCGGGCCUGCAAGUCAGAAGUGAAAUCUGGGGGCUUAACCCCCAAACUGCUUUUGAAACUGUGGAUCUUGAGUGAUGGAGAGGCAGGCGGAAUUCCCAGUGUAGCGGUGAAAUGCGUAGAUAUUGGGAGGAACACCAGUGGCGAAGGCGGCCUGCUGGACAUUAACUGACGCUGAGGCGCGAAAGCGUGGGGAGCAAACAGG